ACGUAGGUGGCAAGCGUUGUCCGGAAUUACUGGGUGUAAAGGGCGAGUAGGCGGGACUGUAAGUCUGGCGUGAAAUCUGGUGGCUUAACCACCAAACUGCGUUGGAAACUAUGGUCCUUGAGUGAUGGAGAGGCAGGCGGAAUUCCCGGUGUAGCGGUGGAAUGCGUAGAUAUCGGGAGGAACACCAGUGGCGAAGGCGGCCUGCUGGACAUUAACUGACGCUGAGGAGCGAAAGCGUGGGGAGCAAACAG
rnacentral:rRNA from 1 species